AUGUGGAACGGCUCAACCCAUUUUCCUAAUAAUUUAGCAAUUUAUAUUUCCUCCUCAACUCGAUCAUUUCUCACGCCUAUAAAAAGCUCAGCAACCCAGAGCAGAACCUCCACGGCAACAACCCCUCCGAAAAGCGGAAAAGCCACGAUGACCAGGCCUCACACUAGCAGUAGUGAGUCACCACUGAUGGUGCAUCUGCUGCUGUGUUGCACGUUUCUCCUGGCCUUGGCUGCUCCGGCGACCACCGCAGCCUCCGUUCCCGCCCCUGCUCUGACCCCGGCGAAGCAGAACAUGACGUGGGACGUGGAGUACAUCCUGUGGUCGCCGGACUGCCAGCAGCGGGUGAUGAUCGGGAUCAACGGCAAGUUCCCCGGCCCGAACAUCACCGCCCGCGCCGGCGAGACCCUCAGCAUCACCGUCAACAACAAGCUGCACACGGAGGGGCUGGUGAUCCACUGGCACGGGAUGCGGCAGGUGGGCACGCCGUGGGCGGACGGGACGGCGUCCAUCUCCCAGUGCGCCAUCAGCCCGGGGGACUCGUUCACCUACGAGUUCGUCGCCGACAAGCCGGGGACCUACUUCUACCACGGGCACUUCGGGAUGCAGCGGGCGGCGGGGCUGUACGGGUGGCUCGUCGUGAACGCCACGGCGGAGCAGGACGAGCCGUACCGGAGGGACUACGACGGCGGCGAGCUCCGCAUGCUGCUCAGCGACUGGUACCACGACAACGUGUACGCGCAGGCGGCCGGGCUGGAGCAAAAGUACGAUCACUUCCAGUGGGUCGGCGAGCCCCAGACGAUCCUCAUCAACGGGCGAGGGCAAUACGACUGCAUGCUGGGCGCGGUCACGAGGUUCCACCGGGGCAUCGACAGGCGCGCCAGGACCUGCGUGAGGGGCAAGGAGGCCAAGCUGUGCGGCGACGAGGAGAGGUGCCUCCGGCGGAGCGAGUGCGGGCCCUACUGCCCGCAGAGCCAGUGCGCCCCCGUGGUGUUCGACGUGGAGCCUGGCAGGACGUACCGGCUCAGGAUCGCCAGCACCACCUCACUCUCCGCCCUCAACGUGCAGGUCCAAGGGCACGACCUGACGGUGGUGGAGGCCGACGGCAACCCGGUGGAGCCGUUCACCGUCCCAGACAUCGACAUCUACUCCGGCGAGAGCUACUCCGUGCUCCUCACCACCAACCACACGCCGACGUUCUACAGGUCUGGGUCCUUCUGGAUCUCCGUCGGCGUGAGAGGACGGCCCCCCAAGACGCUGCCGGCCACCGCCAUCCUAAGGUACACCAACAGCAGGUUCCCGUGGCCAGGCAGCCCGCCCCCGGCGACUCCGGCGUGGUACGACCUGCAGCGCAGCAAGGACUUCACCCACAGGAUCAAUGCCCGGAGGAACGCCGCCGAGGCGCCGCCGCCGCCGCGGACCGAGCAGGUGAACCGGACGAUCGUGAUGCUCAACACGCAGACCCUGGUGGGCGGGCACAUGAAGUGGGCCGUCAACAACGUGUCCCUGACGCUCCCGGCCACCCCGUACCUCGGCGCCUACUUCUACGGCGUGCAGGGCAGCGCCUUCGACGCCUCCGGCGAGGCGCCCAACGGGUUCCCCGGCGGCUACGACAUCGACCUGCCGCCGGCGAACAACAGCUACGAGACGACGCUCAGCGACCGGGUGUACGAGCUGCCGCACGGCGCCGUGGUGGACGUGGUGCUCCAGAACGCGGACAUGCGGAGGGACAACGACAGCGAGACGCACCCGUGGCACCUGCACGGCCACGACUUCUGGGUGCUGGGGUACGGCGAGGGGCGGUACACCAGCGGCCGCGAGCGCCUCAACACGGAGGACCCGCCGCUGCGGAACACGGUGGUGGUGUUCCCGCACGGCUGGACGGCGAUCCGGUUCGUCGCCGACAACGUGGGCGCGUGGGCGUUCCACUGCCACAUCGAGCCGCACCUCCACAUGGGCAUGGGCGCCGUCUUCGUUGAAGGGGCCCAUAAGAUACGCGAGCUCGACGUGCCCAGGGAGGCCAUGAUGUGCGGGGUGAUCAGGACGACGGCCGCAGCCCUGACUCCCGCUAAGCCAGGCUCGUCGGCGCCGGCGCCAUCGGCUCAUCGAUAA
rnacentral:rRNA from 1 species